UAGGGAUGUCAGUCGUCAUGUGCUAGUCGAGCGGAUGCAAGAGGAGCUUGCUCCUGGAUUCAGCGGCGGACGGGUGAGUAAUGCCUAGGAAUCUGCCUGGUAGUGGGGGAUAACGUCCGGAAACGGGCGCUAAUACCGCAUACGUCCUGAGGGAGAAAGUGGGGGAUCUUCGGACCUCACGCUAUCAGAUGAGCCUAGGUCGGAUUAGCUAGUUGGUGGGGUAAAGGCCUACCAAGGCGACGAUCCGUAACUGGUCUGAGAGGAUGAUCAGUCACACUGGAACUGAGACACGGUCCAGACUCCUACGGGAGGCAGCAGUGGGGAAUAUUGGACAAUGGGCGAAAGCCUGAUCCAGCCAUGCCGCGUGUGUGAAGAAGGUCUUCGGAUUGUAAAGCACUUUAAGUUGGGAGGAAGGGCAGUAAGUUAAUACCUUGCUGUUUUGACGUUACCAACAGAAUAAGCACCGGCUAACUUCGUGCCAGCAGCCGCGGUAAUACGAAGGGUGCAAGCGUUAAUCGGAAUUACUGGGCGUAAAGCGCGCGUAGGUGGUUCAGCAAGUUGGAUGUGAAAUCCCCGGGCUCAACCUGGGAACUGCAUCCAAAACUACUGAGCUAGAGUACGGUAGAGGGUGGUGGAAUUUCCUGUGUAGCGGUGAAAUGCGUAGAUAUAGGAAGGAACACCAGUGGCGAAGGCGACCACCUGGACUGAUACUGACACUGAGGUGCGAAAGCGUGGGGAGCAAACAGGAUUAGAUACCCUGGUAGUCCACGCCGUAAACGAUGUCGACUAGCCGUUGGGAUCCUUUGAGAUCUUAGUGGCGCAGCUAACGCGAUUAAGUCGACCGCCUGGGAAUGACGGCCGGCAAGU
rnacentral:rRNA from 1 species